rnacentral:lncRNA from 1 species
AAUAAAAAUACCAUAUUAUUAGAGGGGUGAAAAAGUACUUAAGCACCAAAAGUGCUUUUGGGGGAGGAAAAGCUAAAAUUUUUAGCUACUCCUAUUCAGCCAAAAGCAGCUUGUUCUUCACAGCUAUUCAGCCAAAAACACUUCUGAAAAGUUAAAAAUUUCAGCCAAAAGCAGCUUGUUCUUCACAGCUUUUCUUUCAAAAGUGCUUUUGGAGUCAGAAGUGCUUUUUUUAAGUAAU